UGGCGGCGUGCCUAAUACAUGCAAGUCGAGCGCAGGAAGCCGUCUGAACCCUUCGGGGGGACGACGGUGGAAUGAGCGGCGGACGGGUGAGUAACACGUAAAGAACCUGCCCAUAGGUCUGGGAUAACCACGAGAAAUCGGGGCUAAUACCGGAUGUGUCAUCGGACCGCAUGGUCCGCUGAUGAAAGGCGCUCCGGCGUCGCCCAUGGAUGGCUUUGCGGUGCAUUAGCUAGUUGGUGGGGUAACGGCCCACCAAGGCGACGAUGCAUAGCCGACCUGAGAGGGUGAUCGGCCACACUGGGACUGAGACACGGCCCAGACUCCUACGGGAGGCAGCAGUAGGGAAUCUUCCACAAUGGACGAAAGUCUGAUGGAGCAACGCCGCGUGAACGAUGAAGGCUUUCGGGUCGUAAAGUUCUGUUGUAAGGGAAGAACAAGUGCCGCAGGCAAUGGCGGCACCUUGACGGUACCUUGCGAGAAAGCCACGGCUAACUACGUGCCAGCA
rnacentral:rRNA from 1 species